rnacentral:rRNA from 2 species
CGCGGUAUCUUGACCGUGCAAAGGUAGCAUAAUCAUUUGCCUUUUUAUUGAAGGCUAGAAUGAAGGAAAAAAUAAGAGUAUAACUGUCUCUGCCGUAAUAUAAAAAUUGCUGGUAGCGUGAAGAAGCGAAAGUAACAAAAAAAGACAAGAAGACCCUAUUAAGCUUUACUUUUAAAUUUUGUUUUUUAUCUUAAAAGAAUAAAAAACAAAAUUAUGUUAGUUUGGUUGGGGUGACUAAAAAGGAAAAAAUCCUUUUUUUAGAAAAGUACUUUAAGUUUAAGGAAAGGUCCAAGCUUUUUGAUUAUUAGAAUAAGUUACUAUAGGGAUAACAGCGUAAUUUUUUCAGAGAGUUCUUAUUGACGAAAAAGAUUGCGACCUCGAUGUUGACUUGUU